rnacentral:lncRNA from 1 species
CCAAUCGCUUUCGUCGACGGUUUUGCCUUCAUGGGGGCAUUUUGGAGGGGCGCGCGAGGGAAGCGGGCGUUGGAAGUUGCUCCGGCGGCUGACUGAGUACAGGUGUAUUUUGCUGUGUGUGGAAAAUUGUCAAGUCAAGAGCGAAAAGUACUCUGAAAGUAUCAGUUAAGAUGUGCGAGGCCUAAAAAACAUACUUUGGCAUACCUGUCAGUGAUCAAGACAAGCCCUGGGUAGUUCAUUUCACAUGCAAACACUGCACGAAAACUCUUGAAGACUGGUGCAGGGAAAAAAGAGCCAUGAAGUUUGUUAUCCCAAGAAUUUGGCAGGAACCAACUGACCACUCGAGCAACUGCUACUUCGGCGUGGUAGACCCUUCCAAACAUUGAACUG